rnacentral:rRNA from 1 species
GGUUAAGCGACUAAGCGUACACGGUGGAUGCCCUGGCAGUCAGAGGCGAUGAAGGACGUGCUAAUCUGCGAUAAGCGUCGGUAAGGUGAUAUGAACCGUUAUAACCGGCGAUUUCCGAAUGGGGAAACCCAGUGUGAUUCGUCACACUAUCAUUAACUGAAUCCAUAGGUUAAUGAGGCGAACCGGGGGAACUGAAACAUCUAAGUACCCCGAGGAAAAGAAAUCAACCGAGAUUCCCCCAGUAGCGGCGAGCGAACGGGGAGCAGCCCAGAGCCUGAAUCAGUGUGUGUGUUAGUGGAAGCGUCUGGAAAGGCGCGCGAUACAGGGUGACAGCCCCGUACACAAAAAUGCACAUGCUGUGAGCUCGAUGAGUAGGGCGGGACACGUGGUAUCCUGUCUGAAUAUGGGGGGACCAUCCUCCAAGGCUAAAUACUCCUGACUGACCGAUAGUGAACCAGUACCGUGAGGGAAAGGCGAAAAGAACCCCGGCGAGGGGAGUGAAAAAGAACCUGAAACCGUGUACGUACAAGCAGUGGGAGCACAGAGCAAUCUGUGUGACUGCGUACCUUUUGUAUAAUGGGUCAGCGACUUAUAUUCUGUAGCAAGGUUAACCGAAUAGGGGAGCCGAAGGGAAACCGAGUCUUAACUGGGCGUUAAGUUGCAGGGUAUAGACCCGAAACCCGGUGAUCUAGCCAUGGGCAGGUUGAAGGUUGGGUAACACUAACUGGAGGACCGAACCGACUAAUGUUGAAAAAUUAGCGGAUGACUUGUGGCUGGGGGUGAAAGGCCAAUCAAACCGGGAGAUAGCUGGUUCUCCCCGAAAGCUAUUUAGGUAGCGCCUCGUGAAUUCAUCUCCGGGGGUAGAGCACUGUUUCGGCAAGGGGGUCAUCCCGACUUACCAACCCGAUGCAAACUGCGAAUACCGGAGAAUGUUAUCACGGGAGACACACGGCGGGUGCUAACGUCCGUCGUGAAGAGGGAAACAACCCAGACCGCCAGCUAAGGUCCCAAAGUCAUGGUUAAGUGGGAAACGAUGUGGGAAGGCCCAGACAGCCAGGAUGUUGGCUUAGAAGCAGCCAUCAUUUAAAGAAAGCGUAAUAGCUCACUGGUCGAGUCGGCCUGCGCGGAAGAUGUAACGGGGCUAAACCAUGCACCGAAGCUGCGGCAGCGACGCUUAUGCGUUGUUGGGUAGGGGAGCGUUCUGUAAGCCUGUGAAGGUGUGCUGUGAGGCAUGCUGGAGGUAUCAGAAGUGCGAAUGCUGACAUAAGUAACGAUAAAGCGGGUGAAAAGCCCGCUCGCCGGAAGACCAAGGGUUCCUGUCCAACGUUAAUCGGGGCAGGGUGAGUCGACCCCUAAGGCGAGGCCGAAAGGCGUAGUCGAUGGGAAACAGGUUAAUAUUCCUGUACUUGGUGUUACUGCGAAGGGGGGACGGAGAAGGCUAUGUUGGCCGGGCGACGGUUGUCCCGGUUUAAGCGUGUAGGCUGGUUUUCCAGGCAAAUCCGGAAAAUCAAGGCUGAGGCGUGAUGACGAGGCACUACGGUGCUGAAGCAACAAAUGCCCUGCUUCCAGGAAAAGCCUCUAAGCAUCAGGUAACAUCAAAUCGUACCCCAAACCGACACAGGUGGUCAGGUAGAGAAUACCAAGGCGCUUGAGAGAACUCGGGUGAAGGAACUAGGCAAAAUGGUGCCGUAACUUCGGGAGAAGGCACGCUGAUAUGUAGGUGAAGUCCCUCGCGGAUGGAGCUGAAAUCAGUCGAAGAUACCAGCUGGCUGCAACUGUUUAUUAAAAACACAGCACUGUGCAAACACGAAAGUGGACGUAUACGGUGUGACGCCUGCCCGGUGCCGGAAGGUUAAUUGAUGGGGUCAGCGCAAGCGAAGCUCUUGAUCGAAGCCCCGGUAAACGGCGGCCGUAACUAUAACGGUCCUAAGGUAGCGAAAUUCCUUGUCGGGUAAGUUCCGACCUGCACGAAUGGCGUAAUGAUGGCCAGGCUGUCUCCACCCGAGACUCAGUGAAAUUGAACUCGCUGUGAAGAUGCAGUGUACCCGCGGCAAGACGGAAAGACCCCGUGAACCUUUACUAUAGCUUGACACUGAACAUUGAGCCUUGAUGUGUAGGAUAGGUGGGAGGCUUUGAAGUGUGGACGCCAGUCUGCAUGGAGCCGACCUUGAAAUACCACCCUUUAAUGUUUGAUGUUCUAACGUUGACCCGUAAUCCGGGUUGCGGACAGUGUCUGGUGGGUAGUUUGACUGGGGCGGUCUCCUCCUAAAGAGUAACGGAGGAGCACGAAGGUUGGCUAAUCCUGGUCGGACAUCAGGAGGUUAGUGCAAUGGCAUAAGCCAGCUUGACUGCGAGCGUGACGGCGCGAGCAGGUGCGAAAGCAGGUCAUAGUGAUCCGGUGGUUCUGAAUGGAAGGGCCAUCGCUCAACGGAUAAAAGGUACUCCGGGGAUAACAGGCUGAUACCGCCCAAGAGUUCAUAUCGACGGCGGUGUUUGGCACCUCGAUGUCGGCUCAUCACAUCCUGGGGCUGAAGUAGGUCCCAAGGGUAUGGCUGUUCGCCAUUUAAAGUGGUACGCGAGCUGGGUUUAGAACGUCGUGAGACAGUUCGGUCCCUAUCUGCCGUGGGCGCUGGAGAACUGAGGGGGGCUGCUCCUAGUACGAGAGGACCGGAGUGGACGCAUCACUGGUGUUCGGGUUGUCAUGCCAAUGGCACUGCCCGGUAGCUAAAUGCGGAAGAGAUAAGUGCUGAAAGCAUCUAAGCACGAAACUUGCCCCGAGAUGAGUUCUCCCUGACCCUUUGAGAGUCCUGAAGGAACGUUGAAGACGACGACGUUGAUAGGCCGGGUGUGUAAGCGCAGCGAUGCGUUGAGCUAACCGGUACUAAUGAACCGUGAGGCUUAACCUU